rnacentral:lncRNA from 1 species
UAGAGAUGGGUUUGUUUGGUGUUAUACAGGGAGUGUGUAGUUCCUUGACGUUGCAACAUCUACGCGAUGUCACUGCUAAAAGCAUCGUACAAGAAGCAGGGUCCAUACUCUCUAGCUUGCCCCGCUCUGUGGUACAGAACGCCAAGGUCGAUCUGGAACUGAAGUCUGGAUUUGCGAAAG